GAUGAACGCUGGCGGCGUGCCUAAUACAUGCAAGUCGAGCGAACAGAUAAGGAGCUUGCUCCUUUGACGUUAGCGGCGGACGGGUGAGUAACACGUGGGUAACCUACCUAUAAGACUGGAAUAACUCCGGGAAACCGGGGCUAAUGCCGGAUAACAUUUAGAACCGCAUGGUUCUAAAGUGAAAGAUGGUUUUACUAUCACUUAUAGAUGGACCCGCGCCGUAUUAGCUAGUUGGUAAGGUAACGGCUUACCAAGGCAACGAUACGUAGCCGACCUGAGAGGGUGAUCGGCCACACUGGAACUGAGACACGGUCCAGGCUCCUACGGGAGGCAGCAGUAGGGAAUCUUCCGCAAUGGGCGAAAGCCUGACGGAGCAACGCCGCGUGAGUGAUGAAGGUCUUCGGAUCGUAAAACUCUGUUAUUAGGGAAGAACAAAUGUGUAAGUAACUGUGCACGUCUUGACGGUACCUAAUCAGAAAGCCACGGCUAACUACGUG
rnacentral:rRNA from 1 species